rnacentral:lncRNA from 1 species
AUAAGUCAAAAAGGGCGAAAGAAGGAGGGGGACAACAUGAGAAAAAGGGAAGAUCCUUCGAAAAAGAAGGAAAAGAACGUUGAAAGAAGAAGGAUACUAGAAAAGCUAAGGAAAAUCUUCUUCCCCAUCUACACACAUCUUCUUUUUUUUUAAUACUAAUAGAACCAUGAAAAUCUUCAUGUAACAGCAGCCUAAAUUACCACCUACAAGCCAUCAUUUCCUCCAUAAAAAUUGUCAUAUAAGCCCGCCUAAAAUAGAAAACGCAGCUGAACAAAACAGCCCCAAAAGAGCCCAACUCCCAGCCAAAAAUGCCGCUGAAACGUUGCUAAAAAGCAUUCAGUAAAGAAGCUAUAAUCACUUCAAAAAUACAGCUGCGUCGCACCUCGAAAUAGUCCGAGUUUCAGCCAAGAACUGCGGCCAAAGAACGUUGCUGUUCAACCUCCAUAAAACCAGAUCUAUCACCACCUUAGCUUCUCCAAAACCACCAUAAAUCAUCUCCAAAAGCUUCAGCAAAAUAGUCUCCGAUCAACAUCACAAAUCACUCAUUUUUUUGGUUUCUCUACUUCCGAGUUUCGAGGUUCCGGUGCGGUCUCCUGUCGCAGGUCUUUUUCGGGUUCUUUAUCCGAGUUCUAGCUUCGAGGUUUCAUGUAUUUUUGAUGAUGUUGGAGCGUCAUGUUUGGAUCUAUUGAAGAGGCUUACUUGCUGAAUGUAAAGGUUCAUUCUUACCAUUUUAUUGAAGUUGUUUAGCCAUUCUAUUAAUUUGUUUAUCGUCCUUGUCCAUGUGUUUUGCUUGUCUUGUGUUGAUGUCAUGAGUAUAGGAUCUCUUUGAAUGUCUCGUCGUGAAUUAUUUCCUUCGUUUCAUAUUAAGUGAGAUAGUUUAACUCGGUAUUAAGUUAAAAAAGAAUUUUUUUGAAACUUGUGAUCUUAAAAGAUUAUGGAGUAAAAAGUUAUGUUAUUUGUGUGACGGUAAAAGCUUCUCAUUAAGAACAAAAUAGAAUAAAAUAAAAAGUUUAAAGAUGAAUUAUUUUUAAAUUUUAAAAUAUAUCAUUUAUUUAGAAACAUAUUAAAAAGAAAAAUACCAUAAUAACCUACUUAUUAUGAAACAGAGAGAAUAGUUAUGUUUAAGCAUUGGGGAAUGCAGUAGCUUGUUGGGCCAUAUGAUUUUGGGGUGUAUCAAAUAACAAAUAACGGGCCAUGUGUUUGCUUGACAGAAAUGUAUUAUCCUACGGUAGAAAUCUAUUUACUAUUUUUAUUUAGGUUUUUUAUUAAUAACUAUAUAUAUUUAUAUUUAUUUGUUUUACCUAAAAUAUUAAAAAAAGAAUCAGUUACGUAAAAUAUCUUAUAUUUAAGAUACCCAAAUUUAAUACUUACCCAAAAUCUCUUCAUUUCCUCAACAAAUCCAUCCCAAAAUCAUUUUUUCUCUUUUCAAUUAACAACUCCCUUCACGCUAAGACCCACCUCCAAAAUUGUAGAUUCUUUCCUCUUCCAAAGCUAUUGAUGUACGAUUUCUCCCUUUAAUCGUCC